rnacentral:rRNA from 1 species
UACGUAGGGAGCAAGCGUUGUCCGGAAUCAUUGGGCGUAAAGCGCGUGUAGGCGGCUUGGUAAGUCUGCUCUGAAAGCCCGGGGCUCAACCCUGGGAGGCGGGUGGAUACUGCUGAGCUCGAGUCCGGAAGAGGCGAGUGGAAUUCCUGGUGUAGCGGUGAAAUGCGCAGAUAUCAGGAGGAACACCAACGGCGAAGGCAGCUCGCUGGGACGGUACUGACGCUGAGACGCGAAAGCGUGGGGAGCAAACAGG